rnacentral:rRNA from 1 species
UACGGGGGGAGCAAGCGUUGUUCGGAAUCACUGGGCGUAAAGGGAGUGUAGGCGGUUCGGUAAGUGGGAUGUGAAAUGCCCGGGCUCACCCCGGGACCUGCAUCUCAUACUGCUGAGCUUGAGUACAGGAGAGGGUGGGGGAAUUCCUGGUGUAGCGGUGAAAUGCGUAGAUAUCAGGAGGAACACCGGUGGCGAAGGCGCCCACCUGGCCUGCUACUGACGCUGAUGCUCGAAAGCUAGGGGAGCAAACGGG